GUGGUAGGUCAAACUCUGUCAAAGCAGCUGCCCCCUAAAAAACAGGACAGCCCUGGCCCUGGUGACGUGAGUGUGCAGAGGUAGAUGACCUGAUGGGUGUAGAACCAUACGCUCACAGCCUGGUCUAGACUAGAAGAGAGUCACCAGAGAGUGGUUCUUCACAGGCAGUGAGAUGAGGUUACUGCCAAAAGGAGCUUUACCAUUUGGACCUGCAAACAUACUGCAACAUCAGAAAUAAUAGUCUCUUGCUAUACAAUGCAUCUAUGAAUGGAGAGCCUCCUGCUUGAUGUGCCUUCAGGCAGUCCAACAAUCAGACCC